rnacentral:lncRNA from 1 species
CUAAUGUAAUUCGCUCGUAGAGAUCAAAACGUGUUUAACGGCCCUACACAUAGGACAGAGUUGCCUGUGACACAAUUUGAAUUCAACUGCUAUCUCCACUACAAUUAAGACCGCCAUAUUGUGGCGCUGGAUUUGUGCAUGAACGGACACGCGAACGGGUUCCAUUUUCACAUGAGACGUCGCACCCUGACCAUGGCGUCCAUGGAGACCAAUUCCCAUCAACUAUGCUGAACAUAGAGUUUAACAGAGCACAAUCAAAUGAUUCAUCAUCAAUACAAGAAGAAUCUGUAAAUAAAAGAUUGAAAGAUAAUGCCUUCUAAUGAAAUCAUUUAAUGUUUAACAGUUCGUUGAUACUACAGUUAUGUUGAACGAGAUGAAUUUGUUCUCUUGCUCAGAACAUAUUGCAAAGCUUUAAAUAUAUUUGGACAUAUUCCUCUAUGAAACGUUGUUCAUAAAAACUUUAGAUGUUUAUCACUAUUAUAAGAAAAAACUUAUUGAACAUUUAUCAUUUUACUUUUAACAUAUGUUUC